CCUCAGUCUCCAAAAUCCAUGAAAUAAAUCAGUCCAUACCUCAAUAUGGAUUUGAACUUGCAGACUAUGAGACAAUAACAAGCCGUUGCAAUGCCCACACUUAUUUGACAGAUGUUAUUGGUAGAUUGGAAUCGGUUGGAGCAAUAAAGGAAGUAAAGUCUAAAGGAUGUCCAACCAAAAUACGCACAAUCCAUCUUCUAUUGGAAGAGAACAAAAUUCUACAGAUAACUUUGUGGGGGGCUAAAGCAUAUCAAAUAGAUGAGGAUUUUCAUAAGAAUACUCCAAGAC